rnacentral:rRNA from 1 species
UACGGAGGGUGCAAGCGUUAUCCGGAUUUACUGGGUUUAAAGGGUGUGUAGGCGGGCUAUUAAGUCAGUGGUGAAAUCUCCGGGCUCAACCUGGAAACUGCCAUUGAUACUAUUAGUCUUGAAUUCUGUUGAGGUGGGCGGAAUAAAUCAUGUAGCGGUGAAAUGCAUAGAUAUGAUUUAGAACACCAAUUGCGAAGGCAGCUCGCUAAACAGAUAUUGACGCUGAGGCACGAAAGCGUGGGGAUCAAACAGG